CCCCCCGGGGUCCCCCGAGGGGCCCAAAAAAUUCCAAAAAAAUUCCCAAAAAAAUUCAAAAUAACAAAAAAAACCCAAAAUAACAAAAAAUUCCCGAUCCCGAGAAAUUCUUUAACAAACAAACAAACAAAAAAAAUUCCCGGUUUUUUUUUUCCUUCCCCCCCAUCCCCAAAAUUCCAAGGAAAAAAAUGGGAAUAAAACAGAAAAAAACCCGAUUUUUGGGUGGGAAAAUUCCCGAUUUUUGGGUGGGAAAAUCCCGAUUUUUGGGUGGGAAAAUCCCGAUUUUUGAGUAGAAAAAUUUCGAUUUUUAGGUGGAAAAAUCCCGAUUUUUUUGUGGGAAAAAUUCCGAUUUUUAAGUGGGAAAAUCCCGAUUUUUGGGUGGGAAAAUUCCCGAUUUUUGGGUGGGAAAAUCCCGAUUUUUGGGUGGGAAAAUCCCGAUUUUUGAGUGGAAAAAUCCCGAUUUUUGAGCAGGAAAAUCCCGAUUUUUAGAUGGAAAAAUCCCGAUUUUUAGGUGGAAAAAUCCCGAUUUUUAGGUGGGAAAAAUCGCAAUUUUCGGGUGGGAAAAUCCCGAUUUUUGGGUGGGAAAAUCCCGAUUUUUGGGUGGGAAAAUUCCCAUUUUUGGAUAGAAAAAAUCCCGAUUCUUGUACGAAAAAAUCCCCAUUUUUGGGUGGGAAAAAUUCUGAUUUUUAAGUCGGAAAAUCCCAAUUUUUGAGUGGGAAAAAUCCCGAUUUUUAGGUGGGAAAAUCCUGAUUUCUGAGCAGGAAAAUCCCGAUUUUUAGGUGGAAAAAUCACGAUUUUUAGAUGGAAAAAUCCCAAUUUUUACGUGGAAAAAUCCCGAUUUUUGACUGGAAAAAUCCCAAUUUUUAGAUGGAAAAAUCCCAAUUUUUAGGUGGAAAAAUUCCGAUUUUUAAGUGGAAAAAUCCCGAUUUUUUCCUUGGAUUUCCUCCUUUUUUCCCAACAAUUUUUCGGAAUUUUUGGACGAUUCCUUCCACGAUUUUGUGAAUUUUUCACCCAAAUUUUUCAUUUUUUUCCCCAUUUUAAUUUUUAUUUCAUUAUUCUAAUUAACUUUAAACCACUUUUAAUUAAUUUUAAUGAAAUUUUUCACAUUUUUUCCCCAUUCUCAACACAUUUUAAUUUUUAUUUCACUUUAUUUUCAUUUUUCCCCUAUUUUUUUUUUAUUUUUAAGGGAAAUUUGGGAUAUUUUUAAUUUUUCCCUGGAUUUUAAAUGGAAUUUUGGGCGUUUUCUCCACGAUUUUUAUCCAUUUUUAGGUGAAUUUUGAUGAUUUUCUCCCAUGAUUUUGGGAAUUUUAAUUAUUUUCCCAUUUUUUUACAGUUUCCUGAUUUUUUUAACAUUUUUUAGAGAAUUCUGGACAUAAUUUCGCUUUUUUCCCCCCAUUUUUAUGUUUUUUUUUCACAUUUUAAUUUUUUCCCACCUUUUUUCCCCAUUUUUCCCAUUUUUUAUCCAUUUUUUCCCAUUUUUUCCCAUUUUUUCCCAUUUUCCUCCCCUUUCCCACAAAAAAAUUGGAGCGAGAGCCUCAAAUCCCAAAAAAAUCUGAUUUAAUCCAUCGGAAAAAACGGAAUUUUGGGGUAAAAAAACCCAAAUUUUGGGGCUUUUUGCUGCUCAAAAACCUCAAAAUUUCAUUUUUUUCCCUAAAAUUGGGAUUUUUUUGGGGGGAAAAACGGGAAUUUCGAUCCCAAAUCGCCACAGGGGGGAAAAAUCCUCGGGAAUUUGGGGAAAAUUUGGGAUUUAUUUACAUUUUUUAUGGGAAAAAGACCCAAAAAAGAAGAAAAUUCCCCCAAAAUUUCCCCCCAAAUCCAUCCCGAGGUUCUGGAAAAUUCCAGGGAUUUUUGGGGGAUUUUUUUUGGGAAUUUUUUGGGGUGGAAUUGGGGAAUUUUGGGUUUUUUUGGAAUAUUUGGGGAUGAAUUUGUUGGGUUUGGGUUUGGGUUUUGGGGUUUUUGGGGUCGGAUUUGGGAUUUUUGGGAUCGAAUUUGGGGUUUUUGGGGUUGAAUUUGGGGUUUUUUGGGAUUUUUGGGAUCAAAUUUGGGAUUUUUGGGAUCGAAUUUGGGAUUUUUGGGAUAAAAUUUGGGUUUUUUGGGGACUUUUGGGAUCAAAUUUGGGAUUUUUGGGAUCAAAUUUGGGAUUUUUGGGGUCAGAUUUGGGAUUUUUGGGAUCAAAUUUGGGAUUUUUGGGAUCAAAUUUGGGUUUUUUGGGGGUUUUUGGGAUCAAAUUUGGGAUUUUUGGGCUCAAAUUUGGUUUUUUUGGGAUUGAAUUUGGGAUUUUUGUGGUUGGAUUUGGGAUUUUUGGGGUCGGAUUUGGGAAUGUUGGGCUCAAAUUUGGGUUUUUGGGGGAUUUUUGGGAUCAAAUUUGGGAUUUUUGGGAUCAAAUUUGGAUUUUUUGGGGAAUUUUGGGGUCGGAUUUGGGAUUUUUGGGCUCAAAUUUGGGAUUUUUGGGAUCGAAUUUGGGAUUUUUGGGAUAAAAUUUGGGUUUUUUGGGGACUUUUGGGAUCAAAUUUGGGAUUUUUGGGAUCGAAUUUGGGAUUUUUGGGAUCAAAUUUGGGAUUUUUGGGAUCAAAUUUGGGUUUUUUGGGGAUUUUUGGGAUCAAAUUUGGUUUUUUUGGGAUUGAAUUUGGGGUUUUUGGGGAUGUUUGGGAUCAAAUUUGGGAUUUUUGGGGUUGAAUUUGGGUUUUUUUGGGAUUUUUGGGAUCAAAUUUGGGAUUUUUGGGAUCAAAUUUGGGUUUUUUUGUGUCAAAUUUGGGAUUUUUGGGCUCAAAUUUGGGAUUUUUGGGGUCGGAUUUGGGAUUUUGGGAUCAAAUUUGGGAUUUUUGGGCUCAACUUUGGGAUUUUUGGGAUGGAAUUUGGGAUUUUUGGGAUUUUUGGUUCAGAUUUGGGGAUUUUUGGGGUUGGAUUUGGGGGAUUUUGGGUGAAUUUUGGGGAGUUUUGAACAACCCAGCCCAGAUUUUGAGUGGAUUUGAGCAGCCCAGACCCAAUUUUGGGUGGAUUUGGGUGAAUUUGGGAGGAUUUGGGUGGAUUUUGAGUGAAUUUUGGGCUGAUUUAACUCCCCCACCCCACAUUUCACCCCAACCCAACCCAGAUCACAUUUUAACCAAUUUUAACCAAAUUUUAACCCAAUUUUAACCCAAUUUUAACCCAAUUUUAACCCAAUUCUGACCCAAUUUUAACCCAAUUUUAACUGAAUUUUAACCCAAUUUCAACCCAAGUCUGACCCAAUUCAACCCAAUUUUAAACCAAUUUUAAACAAAAUUUUAACCCUUUUUUAAUCCAAUUUUGACCCAAUUUUAACCCAAUUCAGACCCAAAUUUAACCCAAAUUUAACCCAAUUUUAAUCCAAAUUUAACCCAGUUUUAACCCAAUUCCAACCCAAUUUUAACCCAAUUUUAACCCCAUUUUAAUCCAAAUUUAACCCAAUUUUAACCGAAUUCCAACCCAAUUUUAACCCAAAUUUAACCCAAUUUUAACCCAAAUUUAACCCAAUUUUAACCCAAUUCCGACCCAAUUUAAACCAAAUUUAAACCAAAUUUUAACCCAAUUCUGACCCCACUUUAACCCAAAUUUAACCCACUUUUAACCCAAUUCCAACCCAAUUUUAACCCAAUUUAAACCCAAUUUUAACCCAAUUCCGACCCAAUUUCAACCCAAAUUUAACCCAAUUCUGACCCAAAUUUAACUGAAUUCUGACCCAAUUUUAACCCAAAUUUAACCCAAUUUUAACCCAAUUUUGACCCCACUUUAACCCAAUUUUAACCCAAAUUUAACCCAAUUUUAACCCAAUUCCCACCCAAUUUUAACCCAAUUCCAACCCAAAUUUAACCCAAAUUUUAACCCAAUUUUAACCCAAUUCCGACCCCAAUUUAAACCAAAUUUCAACCCAAUUCUGACCAAACUUUAAUCCAAUUUUAACCCAAUUCUGACCCAACUUGAAUCCAAUUUUAACCCAAUUCCAACCCCAUUUUAACCCAAAUCUGACCCAAUUUUAACCCAAAUUUAACCCAAUUUUUAACCCAAUUCCACCCAAUUUUAACCCAAUUCCAACCCAAAUUUAACCCAAAUUUUAACCCAAUUCCAACCCAAUUUUAACCAAAUUCUGACCCAAUUCCAACCCAAUUUUAGCCAAAUUCUGACCCAAAUGUAACCCAAAUUUAACCCAAUUUUAACCCAAUUCCAACCCAACUUUAACCCAAAUCUGACCCAAAUUUAACCCAAUUUUAACCCAAAUUUAACCCAAAUUUUAACCCAAUUUUAACUCAAUUCCGACCCAAAUUUAACCCAAAUUUUAACCCAGUUUUAACCCAAUUCCAACCCCACUUUAACCCAAUUUAAACCCAAAUUUAACCCAAUUCCUACCCAAAUUUAACCCAAAUUUAACCCAAGUUUAACCCAAUUUUAACCAAAUUCCGACCCAAUUCCACCCAAUUUUAACCCAAUUUUAAACCCAAUUUUAACCCUUUUUUAAACCCAAAUUUAACCCAAUUUUAACCCAAUUCCAACCCCACUUUAACCCAAUUUAAACCCAAAUUUUAACCCAAUUCCGACCCAAUUUUAACCCAAUUCCAACCCCAUUUUAACCCAAAUUUUAACCCAAUUCCAACCCAAUUUUUAACCAAAUUCUGACCCAAAUUUAACUGAAUUCUGACACAAUUUUAACCCAAUUUAACCCAAAUUUUAACCCAAUUUUAACCCAAUUCCUACCCAAAUUUAACCCAAAUUUUAACCCAAUUCCAACCCAAUUUUAACCAAAUUCUGACCCAAUUUUAACUGAAUUCCGACCCAAUUUAACCCAAUUUAAACCCAAAUUUUAACCCAAUUUCAACCCAAUUCCUACCCAAAUUUAACCCAAUUUCAACCCAAUUCCACCCCAUUUCAACCCAAUUCCAACCCAAAUUUAACCCAAUUUUAACCCAAUUUUAACCCAAUUCCAACCCAAAUUUAACCCAAAUUUAACCCAAAUUUAACCCAAUC